AUGAUCGAAGGAGAUAUUAAAUUGUUGUCUGUGGUAGCAAAUGGCUUGCCUACAACAGAGGACUUUGAGCAUGUCACUGAUUUGGAAAUAUUGAAGGUUCCACCUGUCCCCAUGGAUAAAUUCCUUUAUCUUUUUAUUGGGUUAAUCUCUACAGCAAAUAAUUUUAAACGUAGAAUAGUGGUUCGUAGAACUGGGGUAUCAUGCGUGGGUAGUGACCACCUUAUUGAAGAUCCUUCUUCCUGUUUUGAUUGCAUUUUCAUUCACUAUGUACUUGGUUACACCUUGUCACAAGACAACACUCUUCAAAAUUUUGUCAAAACUCUUCUUGUGUUCUGUUUAUUCUAG
rnacentral:rRNA from 1 species